ensembl:snoRNA U3 Small nucleolar RNA U3
AAGACUAUACUUUCAGGGAUCAUUUCUAUACUUCAUUACUAGAGAAGUUUCUCUGAACAUGUAGAGUACCUGAAAUCAUGAAGAGGAGAUGCAGGGUCCCUUCCUGCGUGUGAAGCUGGUUCUGGGAGUGACUUCUGCAGCUGCCCUCUGUCAUUAAUGAUGGUUUUUUUCCUCCUUUGGGGGAGUAAGAGGGAAGGGAGACCAUCUGAGUGGG